GAGAUGUCCAACUAAUUCACCACCCAAACGAGUAACGAGUUCAUCAGCAGCCAAGGCGGUGCCACCAGUAGCAAGAAUGUCGUCAACUAUUAAGACUCUUUGACCGGGUUUAAUAGUACCCUUUUGGAUUGCAAAAGAAUCAGUAGAAUAUUCCUUAUUGUAGCUUACGACGACCAAAUCACCGGGAAGCUUGUUGGGCUUACGGACAGGGACAAAUGCACAAUUUGCACGUAAAGCCAACGUAGGUCCAAAAAGAAAUCCACGCGCCUCCAAACCAACAAUCACAUCAAUGUUAUUGAAUUCAGUUUCAACGGCUUCAAGCAAAAGAUCGAUAAGGAUGCCAAAGGCUCUGGGAUCUUGAAAAAUGGGCAUUAUCUAAUAACAUUAGCAUCUUAUUGUUUAUAAUUUAACAGAGUAUUUAAGCAAUUGCAAGGCGUAAAGAUAAUAUAACCUCUCGAAUUGUAUUUUGGAUUCAAACUUCACGCUAAUUGAGCAAAAUAAUAUCACCGUUCC